CUCUGUGACUCCUACGGGAGGCAGCAGUGGGGAAUAUUGCACAAUGGGCGCAAGCCUGAGUGCAGCCAUGCCGCGUGUGUGAAGAAGGCCUUCGGGUUGUAAAGCACUUUCAGUCGUGAGGAAGGUAGUGUAGUUAAUAGCUGCAUUAUUUGACGUUAGCGACAGAAGAAGCACCGGCUAACUCCGUGCCAGCAGCCGCGGUAAUACGGAGGGUGCGAGCGUUAAUCGGAAUUACUGGGCGUAAAGCGCAUGCAGGUGGUUUGUUAAGUCAGAUGUGAAAGCCCGGGGCUCAACCUCGGAAUUGCAUUUGAAACUGGCAGACUAGAGUACUGUAGAGGGGGGUAGAAUUUCAGGUGUAGCGGUGAAAAUGCGUAGAGAUCUGAAGGAAUACCGGUGGCGAAGGCGGCCCCCUGGACAGAUACUGACACUCAGAUGCGAAAGCGUGGGGAGCAAACAGGAUUAGAUACCCGGUAG
rnacentral:rRNA from 1 species